rnacentral:tRNA from 1 species
UCUCUAGUGGCUCAGAUGGUAAAGUGUCUGCCUACAACGUAGGAGACCCAGGUUCAAUCCCUGGGUCGGGAA